rnacentral:rRNA from 1 species
UGGAGCCUGCGGUUUAAUCGGACUCAACGCCGGGAAACUCACCAGAUAAGACAGCUGAAUGAUAGUCGGGCUGAAGACUCUACUUGACUAGCUGAGAGGAGGUGCAUGGCCGUCGUCAGUUCGUACUGUGAAGCAUCCUGUUAAGUCCAGGCAACGAGCGAGACCCACGCCAACAGUUGCCAGCUCGUCCUCCGGGAUGGUGGGGACACUGUUGGGACCGCUCUGCUAAAGAGGAGGAAGGAAUGGGCAACGGUAGGUCAGCAUGCCCCGAAUUAUCUGGGCUACACGCGGGCUACAAUGGGUGGGACAAUGGGUAUCGACACCGAAAGGUGAAGGCAAUCUCCUAAACCCAUCCGUAGUUCGGAUUGUGGGCUGCAACUUGCCCACAUGAAGCUGGAAUCUGUAGUAAUCGUGUCUCAAAAUGGCACGGUGAAUAUGUCCCUGCUCCUU